UACGUAGGGUGCAAGCGUUAUCCGGAAUUAUUGGGCGUAAAGAGCUCGUAGGCGGUUUUGUCGCGUCUGCUGUGAAAACUGGAGGCUCAACCUCCAGCCUGCAGUGGGUACGGGCAAACUAGAGUGCGGUAGGGGAGAUUGGAAUUCCUGGUGUAGCGGUGGAAUGCGCAGAUAUCAGGAGGAACACCGAUGGCGAAGGCAGAUCUCUGGGCCGUAACUGACGCUGAGGAGCGAAAGCAUGGGGGAGCGAACAGG
rnacentral:rRNA from 1 species